AGUGAACGCUGGCGGCAGGCCUAACACAUGCAAGUCGAGCGGCAGCGCGGGGGCAACCCUGGCGGCGAGCGGCGGACGGGUGAGGAAUUCGUCGGAAUCUGCCUUUUUGUGGGGGAUAACGUAGCGAAACUUACGCUAAUACCGCAUCCGUCCUACGGGAGAAAGUGGGGGACCGCAAGUCCUCACGCCGAAAGCUGAGCCGACGAGCGAUUAGCUAGUUGGUGGGGUAAAGGCCCACCAAGGCGACGAUCGGUAGCUGGUCUGAGAGGAUGAUCAGCCACACGGGAACUGGGAAACGGCCCAGACUCCAACGGGAGGCAGCAGAGGGGAAUAUUGGACAAUGGGCGCAAGCCUGAUCCAGCCAGGCCGCGGGUGUGAAGAAGGCCUUCGGGUGGUAAAGCACGUUUGUCCGGAAAGAAAUCCCUGGGGCUAAUAACUUCGGGGGAUGACGGUACCGGAAGAAUAAGCACCGGCUAACUUUGUG
rnacentral:rRNA from 1 species